GAGUGCAGUACCUGUUUCCCAGAAGUACACAGACUUAACGUCCUCCGCCGUCUGUGUGUUAACCCUCCAGGUGCCACAGAGUAGCAGUACUGCUGCCCAGAGGUAUUGGCUGCCCUUCGUCUUAACGUUUGGGGUCCUUCCCGCACCCCUCCACCUCCACCCAAACCCCAUGGUCCUCUCCAGGGUUAAAGUAAAUCCACACAGUCACAGAAGGUUCCGGCAGGCCAAGAUAGCCCGAUACGUGCAAAGGUUCCAAAGGCAGAAAAAAACUAUUUGUGUGAUUUGUCCCACUAAAGGACUGGUGCUUCCUCUCCUGAAGGGCAGAGCAAGUGAAUACUCUGUCUCUGUCUCUCUCUCUCUCUUUCUCUCCUCCACUACCCAGUUCAACUCAGUGUGUUCCCAGAAGAAGCCUGUCAGUUAGAGGAGUAGAGGUCCAGACAGACCGUUGAUCCUCCAUGCUCUCUGGUGCUGCUGCUGUUCUCAGCGGCUUCUGCCUCUGUCCUCUGGCUGUGGAGCAGUGACAGUGGCUGUGUGUCUGCAGUGGUACCUCCCCCUCCCUCUCCCUCUCCCUCUCGCUCUCUCUUUCUGCUUCUCUCUUUUAGUCACUCUCUUCCCGUCUUUCUAGACUCCAACUGCCUCUUUUUUUUAUACACGCUGUCUCUUGCCCGGGGCACAGGGACGGAUAUGUCUUCUCUUCCACUCCUAGCUAGCAGCACUGAGAGGACAACGGGAGACCAGCAUUCACACUGAGUAUAGCAGCUGCUGUAAACUCACCUCCUAGGAUCGGAAACAGUGUAGCUGCUGUAAACUCACCUCCUAGGAUCGGAAACAGUGUAGCUGCUGUAAACUCACCUCCCAAGAUCAGUGAAUGAGUAGCAUAAAGCAGGAAGAUGGAGACAUGGAGGGGCAUGGGAGAGGGAAUUUCUAGGCGCAGCCAGGGGCCGGAGAAUGUCAGGUUUGGGGACCACAUGAUUUCGUCUCUGCUCUUUGCGGAUGAUGUUGUCGUGUUGGCCCCUUCUAACCAGGACCUUCAGCAUGCGCUGGGACGGUUUGCAGCCGAGUGUGAAGCGGUGGGGAUGAGAAUCAGUACCUCCAAAUCCGAGGCCAUUGUCCUCAAUCGAAAAAGGGUGGCUUGCCCACUUCAGGUUGGUGGAGAGUGCUUGCCUCAAGUGGAGGAGUUUAAGUAUCUAGGGGUCUUGUUCACGAGUGAGGAAAGGAUGGAACGGGAGAUUGACAGACAGAUCGGUGCAGCUUCUGCAGUAAUACGGUCAAUGUAUCGGUCUUGUCUUGGUGAAGAAAGAGCUGAGCCGCAAGGCGAAGCUCUCGAUUUACCAGUCAAUCUACGUUCCUACUCUCACCUAUGGUCAUGAGCUUUGGGUCAUGACCGAAAAGACAAGAUCCCGGAUACAGGUGGCCAAAAUGAGCUUUCUCCACAGGGUGGCUGGGCGAUCCUUAGAGAUAGAAUGAGAAGCUCGGUCACCCGGGAGGAGCUCAGAGUACAGCCGCUGCUCCUCCACAUCGAGAGGGGUCAACUGAGGUGGCUUGGGCAUCUGUUCCGGAUGCCUCCGGAACGCCUUCCUGGGAAGGUGUUCCGGUCCCGUCCCACCGGGAGGAGACCCCGGGGAAGACCUAGGACACGCUGGAGGGACUAUGUCUCCCGGCUGGCCUGGGAACGCCUCGGUGUCCCCCCGGGAAGAGCUGGAGGAAGUGUCUGGGGAGAGGGAAGUCUGGGCAUCUCUGCUUAGACUGCUGCCCCCGCGACCCGUCCCCGGAUAAGUGGAAGAUGAUGAUGAUAAUGAAUUUACAUAGCUUAAGUCUCAAUUGUUUACCAGACAUGUUAAAAACCCUUAAUAUUUCCCUGUCUUUCUUAUCACCAGGAGAUUUCAUGAAGAUCAUGAAAAAUGGACUUCCAUGAGAAAGCAGUAGGCUACACCAAGUGAGGAACAGCUAGUUCUACUGGUACAGACACUGGACAUAUUGACCUCAGUUUUGCAACCAUUCCAUACCGGUUGUCAAUGUGGAUCCUGUCUGAGAUCCUGGAGGCUCCAGCUGAUUCUCAUGGCAGCCUCGGAGUCCAUGGGAAGGCUGACCACACCCCGAGGUCAAGUUCUCUCUAAUAGUUUCAUUUCAUAUUAAACUAUUAAUGUAUAUGGCUCUGGAAACUAGCAAAUAAAGAACAAAUAUUUUAAUACAUUCUGAAUGACAAAUUAUCUACAUUUGUGGGUAUUAGGAAAUUCUUCCCCUCUUAUUUGGACAAUAUUAUAACUAAGACCCGUGAUGCUAUGAUGUUAUAUCUUUUUUAGUUUUAUAUUUGUUUAUAUAUAUAAUUAAUUAGCUAAUAUAUGCAUUUCCAUUCUAGUGCCUUGCUGGUCCAUCAUUGGAACAAUGGGGGGUGUGGGUUUGGGACUUGAGUGUUUGAGGAAGAGUGUGGGUAGGAUUUAAUUAUACUUGAAUAUUUAUUCAAUGUUAGUUUUAUUUGUAUUUUCUCUUGUGGCAUCAUUAUAUAUUUUUUGUUCUAUUUCCGUUUUAUAAAAAUAUUAACUAAAGCAAAUCCCUGAUUAGUAUUUCACUCUUUAUGUGUGGGUCUAAUAAAACAAUCUGAAUCAAAUAGAGCAUCGCAUUUCCCCCACUGCAGACCAGAGCCUCAUUUUGAUUAGGAUUGUGCUUGGUUGUGAUAGGUGUUAGACAGGGUAAGGCCUGUUCAACACAAGGUGUGGUCACUUUAAUGGAGCUGUUGUUCUGUUGUUCCCUUUUAAUAGUGAUUUUGGGAAAAGAUACAGGUUCCUUUAGGGGUUUGGGUUGUGUUGGAACUAGAUUUUGCCUUUGGUUGUUGUUUUACUGUGUUCUUGUACAUUCAAAAAGAAAAUAAAUAUUAUAGGCACUGUCUCUGCCCCAUCCACCCUGGCUUCUUUUAACAACACAUUUGAAAUGGCAAAGGACAUAUUCCUUCAUCAAAUAUUAGUACAGCAUCAGCAACACAUUCAGCGUUAAUUGCCCUGAUUCUCAGAACAGUCUGAUAGUUGAUUCUGAGAUAAACACCACUUCAAAUAAAUGUAGGAUUUUUUAUUAGAUCACCCCGUGGCAGGAUAAAUGGCACUGCAGGACACUCAAGAGUGUAAUGGAAUUGAGAAUGGAAAAAGUUACUGAAAAUGUCAGACUUCAUUUUCCCUUAACAAAAAUGUAUCAUAUAAC
ensembl:lncRNA